rnacentral:rRNA from 1 species
AAUAGAUACCCCGGUAGUCCACGCCGUAAACGAUGGAUGCUAGCUGUUAUGCGUAUCGACCCGUGUAGUAGCGAAGCUAACGCGUUAAGCAUCCCGCCUGGGGAGUACGAACGCAAGUUUAAAACUCAAAGGAAUUGACGGGGACCCGCACAAGCGGUGGAGCGUGUUCUUUAAUUCGAGGCUAAGCGAAGAACCUUACCAGGGCUUGACAUCCUUGGAAUUUCUCCGAAAGGAGAGAGUACUUUAUUGGACCAAGUGACAGGUGCUGCAUGGCCGUCGUCAGCUCGUGUCGUGAGAUGUUUGGUUAAGUCCAUUAACGAGCGCAACCCUUAUGAAUAGUUGUAUUUUUCUAUUCAGACUGCCCCGGUAACGGGGUAGAAGGGGGGGAUGAUGUCAGGUCAGUAUUGCCCUUACGCCCUGGGCUAGAAACGCGCUACAAUGGCCGGUACAAUGCGCUGCCAACCCGCGAGGGGGAGCAAAUCGCAUCAAAGCCGGUCCCAGUUCGGAUAAGAGGCUGAAACUCGCCUCUUUGAAGCCGGAAUCGCUAGUAAUCGU